GCUUAGAGAGGGGUCAAUGUCCUAUCAGCUAGUUGGCAGGGUAAUGGCCUACCAAGGCUAAGACGGGUAGCCGGCCUGAGAGGGUGGUCGGCCACACUGGGACUGAGACACUGCCCAGACUCCUACGGGAGGCUGCAGUCGAGAAUCUUUCGCAAUGCCCGAAAGGGUGACGAAGCGACGCCGCGUGUGGGAAGAGGGCCUUCGGGUUGUAAACCACUGUCGGGAGUUAAGAAAUGUAAGGGUGUUAAUAGCAUCCUUGCUUGACUAAGGCUCCGGAGGAAGCCACGGCUAACUCUGUGCCAGCAGCCGCGGUAAUACAGAGGCGGCAAGCGUUGUUCGGAAUUAUUGGGCGUAAAGAGCACGUAGGCGGCUUUGUAAGUCAGUUGUGAAAGCCUUCUGCUUAACGGAAGAACAGCAUCUGAUACUGCAAGGCUAGAGUACGGAAGGG
rnacentral:rRNA from 1 species